GUUACACAAAACUAAUUACAAUAGCAAAUCCCCUAUAUUAUAUUUAGAGUUGAAGCAUAAAUAAUGAUGUUUCAUUCAUUUCAGUUUAACACUUUCAUUUGGUUUCAUUUGACAAACUCAGGUGAGUAUAGUCAUAGAUCUGGCACAGCCUUCCAGCAAAAUCAAGUCUGUCUAGAUUGUCAAAUGAAGGCAGAGCUUUUCCUUUUGAUUCCAAUGAGGUACAAACAGCUCAUACUGAACCUCUCCGACACCUAAAAAGGAUUAACAUCCUGGUAUGAGUAAGGCAACUGUUUGUGGUGGCAGACAUGAACUGGUUGUCCCUACAGGUCCUGCUUGCAAUGUCCACAAGGGUGAACACCUGUAUGCCAACCCAGGGAAGAAGCGUGGAGGGCUAUGGUACACCUACAUACUCAGCCUGGUGUUCAAAGUUGGCUUUGAUGCAGUCUUCCUCUAUAUUUUGUACUUAAUUUAUCAUUUCGACAUGCCAAGAGUUGUCAAAUGCACUGAGGAACCUUGUCCAAAUCAAGUUGACUGCUACAUCUCCCAUCCUACAGAGAAGAAAAUCUUCACCUUCUUUAUGGUGGUCACUUCUUCACUGUGCAUCUUCAUGUGUAUCUGUGAGAUAUUAUAUCUGAUUACCAAGAAAAUUCGCAAAUACCUGCUCAAACAGCAUGAACACAACACCAUCACACAGCAUAAUUACAAAAGGGUGGAUCCAACGGCCUCAUCCAACCAGAAUCUCAGCAACUUUGAAAAAGCAAAGGCCACAGCAGGGGAGAAGGAUUCAGAACCGGCAUAAUUAUCGUCUGAACUGACUGUGGAACAAGCAAGCAUUAUAAACAGUAGUAAGACACACUGGACCUUGCUAAUAAUAUAGAUAAUCCAAUCAUACCAAUACGCCAAAGGAAUAUUGCAUUUAAAAUAUUUUAAGGACUUUUUAUUGUGACAAUAACAUAGGACUAAUUCUGAAUGUCAUUAUUUUCUUAUAUGUAAUCAUUUAAAUGAAAAAUAAGGUCAUUAGGGUGGUAUUCUUGAGUCUCAUCCACUAAAGGAUCACACUGCCCCCUAAUGUACAGAAAACAGACCCACUUCAGACAACAACAUGGUGGGGAGGAGACCAUAGUAAGCAUCCUGUUCCUGGCCUAAUACAGUAAAUGAAUAAGUGUCCACACUUACUAAAGUCUGAGAUCGUCCACAAAACAUUGAUCAACAGCUACAGGACACUCAGAGACUCUUGAAAGCUGGACUGCCCUAUAACCUUGGGAAGUCUACAUUUUGCACAUCAAUACUUUUAUGAUUUGCUCAAAACAAAUGUAAUAUUUCAUGUACAUGCACUGUGUAGUAAUAAUGUUUACAGAAAUCAUGUUUUCAAGUAUCCCAUUGCAAACACAUCCUUUAUUGUGUUUGUCCUUGUUUAUUUUGCACAUACUGUACUUCAAAGUAAAGCACUACCAAAUUCUAUGUAAUACUAAAUAAAGCACAAAUGAGCACACCAUAUCUAAACAUAAAUAUAUAUUUCUGUUUCUAAAUUAUCACUAUUACAAUUCAUGGGAAUAUGGCAAAAUGUAAAUGUAUUAAACAUAUACAAU